UACGAAGGGUGCUAGCGUUGCUCGGAAUCACUGGGCGUAAAGCGCACGUAGGCGGAUGUGUCAGUCAGGGGUGAAAUCCCGGAGCUCAACUUCGGAACUGCCUUUGAUACAGCACGUCUUGAGUCCGGAAGAGGUGGGUGGAAUUCCUAGUGUAGAGGUGAAAUUCGUAGAUAUUAGGAAGAACACCGGCGGCGAAGGCGGCCCACUGGUCCGGUACUGACGCUGAGGUGCGAAAGCGUGGGGAGCAAACAGG
rnacentral:rRNA from 1 species